rnacentral:rRNA from 1 species
AGUAAAUAGAUACCCUGGUAGUCCACGCCCUAAACGAUGUCUACUAGUUGUUGGUGGAGUAAAAUCCAUUAGUAAACGCAGCUAAACGCGUGAAGUAGACCGCCUGGGGAGUACGGUCGCAAGAUUAAAACUCAAAGGAAUUGACGGGGGCCCGGCACAAGCGGUGGAUUAUGUGGAUUAACUCGGUGCAACGCGAAAAACCUUAACCUGGCCUUGACAUGCCACCUAAACGAAAGCAGAGAUGCAUUAGGUUGCCCGAAACGGGAAAAGUGGACACAGGUGCUGCAUGGCUGUCGUCAGCUCGUGUCGUGAGAUGUUGGGUUAAGUCCCGCAACGAGCGCAACCCUUGCCAAUAAUUGCCAUCAUUUAGUUGGGUCACUUUAUUGGGUACUGCCGGUGACAAACCGGAGGAAGGUGGGGAUGACGUCGAGUCCUCAUGGCCCGUUAUGGCCAGGGCUUCACACGUAAUACAAUGGUCGGUACAGAGGGUUGCCAACCCGCGAGGGGUAGCCAAUCCCAGAAAGCCGAUCGUAGUCCGGAUUGUAGUCUGCAACUCGACUAC